AUUGAACGCUGGUGGCAUGCCUUACACAUGCAAGUCGAACGGUAACAGGUUAAGCUGACGAGUGGCGAACGGGUGAGUAAUACAUCGGAACGUGCCCAGACGUGGGGGAUAGCUCGGCGAAAGCCGGAUUAAUACCGCAUAAGCUCUGAGGAGGAAAGCGGGGGACCGUAAGGCCUCGCGCGUUUGGAGCGGCCGAUGGCAGAUUAGGUAGUUGGUGGGGUAAAGGCUUACCAAGCCUACGAUCUGUAGCUGGUCUGAGAGGACGACCAGCCACACUGGGACGGAGAAACGGCCCAGACUCCUACGGGAGGCAGCAGUGGGGAAUUUUGGACAAUGGGCGCAAGCCUGAUCCAGCAAUGCCGCGUGCAGGAUGAAGGCCUUCGGGUUGUAAACUGCUUUUGUACGGAACGAAAAGGCGCCUACUAAUACUGGGUGUUGAUGACGGUACCGUAAGAAUAAGCACCGGCUAACUACGUGCCAGCCGCCGCGGUAAAAC
rnacentral:rRNA from 1 species